GUGUCAGCCGCCGCGGUAACACGUAGGAGGCAAGCGUUAUCCGAAUUUACUGGGCGUAAAGCGCGUGCAGGCGGUUCGGUAAGUUGGAUGUGAAAUCUCCCGGCUCAACUGGGAGGGGACGUUCAAUACUGUCGGACUUGAGGGCGAUAGAGGGAGGUGGAAUUCCCGGUGUAGUGGUGAAAUGCGUAGAUAUCGGGAGGAACACCAGUGGCGAAAGCGGCCUCCUGGAUCGUUCCUGACGCUCAGACGCGAAAGCUAGGGGAGCAAACGGGAUUAGAAACCCUAGUAGUCC
rnacentral:rRNA from 1 species